UGAGGAAUAUUGGUCAAUGGGCGAGAGCCUGAACCAGCCAAGUCGCGUGAAGGAAGACAGUCCUAAGGAUUGUAAACUUCUUUUAUACGGGAAUAACGGGCGAUACGAGUAUUGCAUUGAAUGUACCGUAAGAAUAAGCAUCGGCUAACUCCGUGCCAGCAGCCGCGGUAAUACGGAGGAUGCGAGCGAUAUCCGGAUUUAUUGGGUUUAAAGGGUGCGUAGGUUGUUCGGUAAGUCAGCGGUGAAACCUGAGCGCUCAACGUUCAGCCUGCCGUUGAAACUGCCGGGCUUGAGUUCAGUGGCGGCAGGCGGAAUUCGUGGUGUAGCGGUGAAAUGCAUAGAUAUCACGAGGAACUCCGAUUGCGAAGGCAGCUUGCCAUACUGCGACUGACACUGAAGCACGAAGGCGUGGGUAUCAAACAGG
rnacentral:rRNA from 1 species